UAGCUUACAUUUUAAUUGUCAAACUGCUUGGACAAUUAAGAAAGAAAGGAAGCAUAACAACAACAACAGCGCUUGACUUGGUCUUAAGAACGAAUGCCUUAUGUGUGUAAUUGCUUGAUGAUGGCAACUCUUCUGUCAGGAACCUGAUGGUGUGUGUGAGCAGGGCACGUGGAGAAGAAGAAUGAACCACGAGCUAGCUGAGCUGUUUGGCGAUGCAGACAUCCUGGCAGUUGCCAAAGCCGGUACGAUACGCUGGUUAGUGCACAUGAUGAGGAUGCCGGACUCAUGUCCUACCAGGCAGGUGCUUGCCAGUGAUCCCUUCGACACGAGGCGAAGAGGAGCACAGUGAGCUCGUUGGCUGGACCAAGUGGAGUCAGACCUAAGGGAGAUCGGAUGUAGCCGGGGGUGGAGGAGUGCAGCUAUGGACCGAGUCUCCUGGAAACGGAUUGGACACCAGGCCUUGUCUCUUAGACGUGCUCCAUAGAACAAAAUGUCAGGAACCUACGACAAUAACGACUUCACAUGAACAAAUUCGGGAAAUGAAGGAAGUGCUUAAAAACAUCCUGAACGCUUAACUGAAGCUCUGUUUGUUGAUAAGUACCACUAGUUUGUAGUUUAUCAAGAUAUCUUGAGCGCCCGCCUUGUCCGUCAGUUAAGGCAUCGCAAAACGAUCAAUUUUAGCACGCAUGACCUUUUUGAAAUCUAAAUGCAAAUGGUUACAUCUUUUUCCGAUCGUCAAGAGCGCAACGUGUGAGCAAGAAAUAUUGAUGUAAACUAAGCAUUUUCUCCUGUGAUGUUCUGAGCAGGCUAUCAAUCUUACUCGUAGUUACUUUAUCUACGGUGAGGUUUACAAAUCUUACGGUUAGAUACCAAAUCUCACUCAAGACGACUUUUUUUUCAUUUUACAGGUCUGAUCAUUGAUAUGAAUAUAAAACUAGACUAGAACUCAAACAAGAUAGUAAAGGUAUGAGACUCAUGAUAUAUAGCCAAUACAAAAUGAACAGCAGUAUAGGAAAACAUAUCGUGCGUGACAAGAAACAAUAGAGAAAAAAAUCCUCGUCUCGAUGCCACGCGAUCUCCCACUGAUGAAAUCGUAACAGCAGUGCCAAUUGCUAGCUCUUAGAGGGCUGUUCAGGUACGGGUAAAUUAGGUCAAGAAAAUAAAUUUUCAUAUUCAAAUCGAAAUAUUGGUUGGUCAGAUAGUUGCUGGCCAUAGGGACAUUGUGUGAGUAGACUAUUUGUUUAGACAGUUGGACAAAGUUUUAUGCUAGUGAGAUGGAUUUAAUCGAGAAGCAGUCUUAAGGGCUAUCAUCCCUUUGGGUUAUUGAGAAUCUUCAUAUGCCGUCCAUAACUGACCAAGCGUAUCGUGGAUGGACUCCACCUACUUCACCAUCAACAACAAAUCUUUCCACGAUUUCCACAUUGCAUCAUUCAACGAAAUAUUCCGGUAUCUUCUUUGAAACACAACAACGAUGAAGUAACGAAGAAAUUUACGUUUCUACACCGAGCAUUAAAUUUAACAAAAUAAGCCUUUGUUAUUAUUGUUAAUAAAACUGGCAAUAGAUAUUACUAGGCGAUGACCCAGUUUACGUUAAAACACGGAAGUAGACAGAAAUGAAUGCUCAAGAUAAAGUUGUAAAUUACUUAAAACAGAAUCACUUGAGUCAGACAAAUUAGCCUUUUCUUCAGAAUGAACCAGAACAUGUUUGUACCUGCGAAUCAACUCAUCAACUGAGAGCUAAAUGAUUAUCACAAGUGCCUUUAAGAAAGCGUUUUAAAGUUUAAAUUGCAACUUAGGUGUAUAAACAAUAUGCUCGAUUUCUAAGAGCUGGUUGUUGGAGAGUUGGUUGUAAAAUGGAGGGAGUUCUAUCUCAAAAGAGACAGAACCUUUUAAGGCUUGUUUUAGCCAAAAACUACAUUUUCGGGCACAUCCUGUGCCCUCUAGUGUUGUUCGUGCAUCCAUGUGAGUCCAUCAUUUGAGUAAAUCUGAUACCGGUUGCAGGAGCUGCGUGAA